CAUGCACUGGUGGGGUCCCUCGGCCUGGACUGUGGAGAUUGGGCCAAAAAUGGCUCUCCGACAUCCCCCAAGGGGUCCCAGAUUGCGAGAGGGUGCAGGCCAGGCUGAGGGACCCCACUGGUGCACG
rnacentral:pre_miRNA from 1 species